rnacentral:lncRNA from 1 species
AUGCCAGGCACAUCCAGCGCCUCGUGUAUCCAGGGACCGCAAUCAGCCUCCACACAGGUCUGCAAUGGAGCUGAUGGCCAUGAAAUGGGAGGCACAAAGGAAGGGAAGACGGGACGCUCUGUCUCUAACCAGGACAGACACCUGCUUGUGGGUAAGGAGACUCAGGUUUUGGUCUCAGUUUUGCCGUCCACUCACGGAGUAGCCUUGGGAAAGUCCCUUUCUGGCUCUUGGCUCCAGGUCUGUGUCUGCAAAUAGGAGAGAGAGGGACAAAGUUCCAGAAAGGCUUUCCCACCUCUGUCAUUCUGUCGUUCAGAUACACACAGCUUAGCUUGAUGGCAUUGUUCUGGCCUCACAUAUGAUGGUGAAGGGUCUUCCACUGUAUCAAUGACAUUCUCCUUGACUGUGACCUAAGACCAGGCCACGGGUCAGGACAAUAAGUGGCCCCAGCAUGCCACGAAAAUCACUUGACGUGUGUCACUCAAUUUCUUAUCAACAUCUGGUAGGUCAAACAAAAAUGAUCAGAAGACCUUAUCUGCUCAGCAGGCUACCAGACUGUGAAGUCGGGACCCAACAGGGUGUAUCAGUCCGUUCUCGCAUUGCUAUAAGGAACUACCUGAGCCUGGGUAAUUUAUAAAGAAAAGAGGUUUAAUUGCCUUGUGUCUCUGCAGGCUAUACAGGAAGCAUGACUAGAGAGGCCUCAGGAAACGUACAAUCCCAGCAGAAGGUGAAAGGGAAGCAGGCACGUGCUGCAUGGCUGGAGCAGGAGGAAGAGAGGAGGGGACAGGACCACACACUUUUAAACAAACAGAUCUCUGGAGAGCUCCAUCGUAAGACAGCACUAAGGGGAUGGUACUAGACCACCAGAAACCUCCUGCAUGAUCUAAUCACCUCCCACCAGGCCCCAUCUCCAAUACUGGGGACCACAAUUCAACAUGAGAUUUCGAGCAAGGGCAUAGAUACAAACCAUAUCACAGGGCUACUAUGUAGCUCAACUCCAAGAGCUGUGCCAUAACACCUGGUGUUACACAAUGUGGGGCUCCCAGGACUGCACAGAUUAGACUGGGUAAAGAUACCCAUUUGUUUUAUUUUAAGGGAAAAGAGAAAAGAACAGAAACCAAAACUGGACCCAAUACCUUUAGAUCUCCUGCCAUCUAAUAUCCGAGUCGACUCCAGACUAGGCCCCUUUCCAGAGGUGACGGAAAUGCUCCAGAAGGAUCACCUCCUCAUUGCCCGUCCCACCCAACCCAGUGGGGCCAG